CCUACGGGGAGCAGCAGUGAGGAAUAUUGGUCAAUGGGCGGGAGCCUGAACCAGCCAAGCCGCGUGAGGGAAGAAGGUACAGCGUAUCGUAAACCUCUUUUGUCAGGGAACAAAGGCGGGGACUAGUCCCCGGAUGAGGGUACCUGAAGAAAAAGCAUCGACUAACUCCGUGCCAGCAGCCGCGGUAAUACGGAGGAUGCGAGCGUUAUCCGGAUUUAUUGGGUUUAAAGGGUGCGCAGGCGGCCUGUUAAGUCAGCGGGAAAAGCCCGGGGCUCAACCCCGGCGAGCCGUUGAAACUGGCGGGCUGGAGUUGGAGAGAAGUACGCGGAAUGCGCGGUGUAGCGGGGAAAGGCUUAGAUAUCGCGCAGAACCCCGAUUGCGAAGGCAGCGUACCGGCUCCACACUGACGCUGAGGCACGAAAGCGUGGGUAUCGAACAGGAUUAGAUACCCCAGUAGUC
rnacentral:rRNA from 1 species